AUAAAACAUUUUUCUUGAAGAAUAAUGUCUCACUAUGGAGACUGUCAAUUUAACCUGUUAUUUUACUGGCUGUUUCUGAUUUACCUACCUCCCUACCUCUAGAUGGUUCAUCUAUAUAAUUGGCUACUACUGGUUAGAGAUAAUAAAUUCAUCUUUUGAGAAACUCUACCAAAAGACUUCUUUUAAAGAUGUGCUGUCUCAUGCCCAUCAUGUCUAGUGUUAUGGGUUGAGCUGUGUACCCCUUCCCACAGAUAUGUUGGGGUCCUAAACUCUGGUACCUCAGGAUGUGACCUUAUUUGGAGAUAGUCUUUACACAGACAAUAAAGUUAAAAUAAGGUAAAAUUAGUGUGAAACCUAAUCCAAUAUUGCUGAUGUCCUAAACAGGGGAUAUUUGGACCCACACAUGCAUGCAGGGAGAAUGCUAUGUGAACAGGUGGCCAUCUACAAGUCAAGCAGAGAGGCCUGGAACAGAUCCUUCCCUAACAACUCUCAGAAGGAACCAGUCCUGUUGACACUUUCAUUUAGGACUCCUAGCCUCCUCCCCGCCGCCCUGCAGGGUUGUGGUACUUUGUUCUAGCAGCCCUAGCAAAAUAAUACAUCUAGUGAUUACAAGUGAGGUCUGUGUUACACCCCCUCUAAAAUGUUUUUCUGGUCCCUAACUUCGAUGUUUUGCAUGGUGGUCUCUAAUAUAAUACUGAUUGCUGGUGUUUAUUGGGUGCUGUGGCAGCACUGCUCUAAGAGUUUCACAUGUAGUAAUUUGUUUAAUCCUCACAAAACCUGUGAGGUUGAUGCUGUUGUUAUUCCCAUCUUAUGGGUGAGAACAUCAAGGGAUAGAGAAGGUCAGUAAUUACUCCAGGUGACACAAGUUAGCAAAUAGCAGAUCCUGGAUUUGGGUUGGUACUCUGGGUUUUGAGUGCGUAUAUAUAAUUCCUACACUAUGCUGCUUAUGAGUGUAGCCAAGUGGGGGCUUUAUAAAAUAGACAGGAAGGAUUCAGCAGAAAGAGGGGCAGGAAGAGAGUGAAGAUUACUCAUAGGUUUUGUGGAUUGGAGGGUUGAACCAGGAAGAAGGUGUCUGCUUGCUGCUCUCUGGCGGCCCCUGCCGACAGGGGGGAGAGAGACAAGGUGGUCUGGACCGGAAAUGCAAAGUUGCUGGGAAGGCAUUCCUGGUGCUGUUGGAGGUGGGGUGGGAUUGACAGGAAUCCCCACCCACCCUACGCGGGGGAGCGCCGUUAUUGGAGGCGCUCUCGGAGGGAGGCUGGCUGGUAAACCCGGAAAGGGGUGCUUGUAGUUCCAGCCGGAGGGCCUCUGAGGGCCUUCCCAGGAUCCUCCCUACGCAGUCCUCUCACGUGUGACCCCCUUGGCCACACCCUGCUGCUCUCAGAGGCGUGGGCUUCUGCUACUGGUUGAAAAGAAGUCAGGCCUCUCGGCGUGGCGUGGAUUUCCUUCCCGGGAUAGGCCUUAGCCCCUCCCCUUUCUCCCAGGCCCAAAAUGGAUCUCUGGAUUUGGGAGCUGCAGCUACAGUUCCUUCAGCUUCAGAAUUCUGAGCAGCACGGACUGCGCCCCAGCCACGGAUAGGACUCCUUAGAACAUCAGCCUGUCAGGGCUGGGAGUCAUCCUCAGGAAUCCCUGCCUCUCUCGUUUUAAGGUUCAGCCCAUGACAGGAUGCAUGAUUCAGCUGAGACAGAUGAGACUUCAAUGGGGCCAGUUACUGGACCUGGCCUUCCAAUGACCACAACUGUGAUGAAACACGGAAAUAGUAUGGAACGCCUUCUACCAGGUCGUUGACCUUGAGGAUCUGACGAGUGCAUUUUUCACUGACUACCUGCCAACUACGGCGACUGGCUUCUCGUUUCUCCACCACGUAGUGAUGGAUUCGGGCACCCCCAUCAAGGAGAGGGGCAUCCCACAUCAGUGUAACAGAUCCCCGGGUCACAUCCUUGAA